AUACGUAGGGGGCGAGCGUUGUCCGGAAUGAUUGGGCGUAAAGGGCGCGUAGGCGGCGCGGUAAGUCUGGAGUGAAAGUCCUGCUUUCAAGGUGGGAAUUGCUUUGGAUACUGCCGCGCUUGAGUGCAGGAGAGGUUAUCGGAAUUCCCGGUGUAGCGGUGAAAUGCGUAGAGAUCGGGAGGAACACCAGUGGCGAAGGCGGCUUACUGGGCUGUAACUGACGCUGAGGCGCGAAAGCGUGGGGAGCGAACAGGAUUAGAUACCCUGGUAGUCCACGCUGUAAACGAUGAAUGCUAGGUGUAGGGGGUAUCGACCCCUCCUGUGCCGGAGUAAACGCAAUAAGCAUUCCGCCUGGGGAGUACGGCCGCAAGGUUGAAACUCAAAUGAAUUGACGGGG
rnacentral:rRNA from 1 species